ACAAUUUUUUUUUUUUAAUCUUUUGUUAAGUAACAAAAAAUCAUGACAUUAUCAUUCAUGGUUGUAGCCAUUAGAUUAAAUUUAUGAAAUGGCUUAGCUUUUGCUGCUACUUUAUAUGGUUGGCCACCUCUGCACACUUCUCUUUUUCUCUAUGCAAGGAUAGAGUUUCGUAACUUGCAUUCAUUGACUUGGCUUUUUAUGUUGUGAAGUCACUCAUGGCAUACAUAAAAUGAGUCAUUUGUGUUGGUUUAUGAUAUUUAGUUUUCAAUAUGCCUUUAUA
rnacentral:misc_RNA from 1 species